UACGUAGGGACCAAGCGUUGUUCGGAUUUACUGGGCGUAAAGGGCGCGUAGGCGGCGCGGUAAGUCAACUUGUGGAAAUCUCCGAGCUUAACUCGGAAAGGUCAACUGAAACUGUGCGACUAGAGUGCGGAAGGGGCAACUGGAAUUCUUGGUGUAGCGGUGAAAUGCGUAGAUAUCGGGAGACACCAGAGGCGAAGGCGGGCUACUGGGCUGAGUACUGACGCUGAUGCGACGAAAGCUAGGGGAGCAAACAGG
rnacentral:rRNA from 1 species